UCCAAUAUGGCCGCCGUGGUCGCCAUUUUGAAAAACUAUUUCAAACUUAAAGUAAAGUUUUACUUGGCCGAUUUCAGUUCAAUCUGCCCAGCAGAACUUUACUUUUAAGUUUGAAAUGGUGUCUAUCCCAUUAAUGAUUUUAUCCCUCUGACACUCAAAAUCUAUACAUCUAAAUGUUGUCUAUCCCAACCAUUGAAAGUUAUGCAACAUUUGAAACUAUAUAUUUGAAAGGGUUUAUUGAACACUCACUUGAUCAAUCAUACACUGAACAAGAAUCAUGAAUAUGCACCUAGCUAGUUUGCUGAUAGUACUAAUCAUCAUAAUUCAUACCUAUGAAGAUUUUGGAGGAAUUAUCACACGACUCGAUGAAAUUAAGAAAUUUUUAUUUUACAUCUUAAUUGAAAUUUUAAACAUCUACAAAAUCAAAACAUUUCACAACAGAAAUGAAAGCUAAAUUCAUAAUGUAUAUAUCAUGAAAGGUUGAUUGCAAGUCAGACAACUUAGACUCAAGCAUUUAAAUUUUCAACUUUAUCAAUAAACAUGAAAUAGGGGUAAGUAGACAUUUUAAAAUUAAUCAUUUCACUUCUUCUAUAAAUUGGAAACUUUCAAUAAUGAGUAAGUUUAUGUAAUGUUAUCAGCAUAGAAAUAUUUUUUAUCAUUUCGAUUAGUACAAAAUAUUUAACAUACUAAUAAACACCAAAACUUAGAUUUAAUAUGGACUACAACACCAAUAAAAACCAGGAAGAGUAAAUUUCAAAGAACAAGAAACAGCAUACUCGCCAUAUCCGAACCAUCCUCAUCAGGCAAGCUUCCAAUUUCUUAUAUAAGUCAACUUAUUUACUGCUUAAAUUUGAAAGAAAAUCUAAAGUUGUUCAAUCAAAUUAACAUUCAAAUUUAAAUCCAAAUCCAACAUGUAUAAUGAAUCAUUUUCUAAUAAAAGUAAUACUAAUUUUACAUUUUUUCUAUAGAUUCUGAUAGUGAAACAGACCUAAUACCUACAAGAAGACCAUAUCAGGACACUAUGAGGAGAAUGACAAAGAUUGUGAACCUUAAGCCUAACAGUGAUGUAAUGCCACCUCUGGAACCUAUAGGGGAGCUAACGAAAAAUGAAACCGCAGCGCAUGAAAUGAUCAGCAGGAGAUGGUCAAGACUAAACAGAUAACUUUUUGAAUUGUAAAAAAACCAAAAAAAACAAAAACUUCAAUAAGAAAUUGACAAGCAGAUAUAUAUCAUUUUAGUUGGAAUGAGGUUUUCUGUAAAUGUUGAAAUCAAACAAACUUGCAAUUGAAACUGUUCGCCACAGUUCCCCUCCAGGCUGUACCGCGUCUACUCUAGGCUGUCCCCCUUGAGCACGUAUUUCUUCUUGCUCCUCUACAGAGGUUCCUAUAUUAGCUGGAGGCGUCUCUAUAGUGCCCAUUUCCAAAUCAUGUACUGCUUCUAACAGUUUGAAAAAAGAAUAUUUUAAACACAUAGUAGGAUCAAUAUUUUCAAAAAUCUCAAAUUUAUGCUAUUGCAAGUUAUUCUGUAACAUUUAUCUAUACCUUUAUGUCUCUGUCUUAGAUUGUAUAGGCGCCUCCUUAUCCUUAAAUUGUGACGUCUUACAUUCUCAGGUCUAUUGACUAGCCUUCUAUUGGGAGCUUCUCUAUUGAGAGGUUAUCUAUUGGUCAGUCUUAAACUCUCCAUAAAGUAGAUCAUGACAGCCAAUAUGAAAUCCGAAAAUAAUGAAUAUAUUUACCUCUCUUUUCUCCUUCACACAAAGAAAAGGCUGAUCAUCCCGAGAAAGACUAUGAUAGUAGCUAAAAUAAGAAAAAAAAGGUUUAACCAAGUAAGGGCUGUUCCAGAAAAAAAGACAUCCCCCCCCUGGGACGGCAAACUUUUUUUGUUAACGUGGGUGGUUGAACAUUGAAUAAAAUCGUAGUUAUUGGUUGUUGUUGUUGUUGUAUUUUCGUUUCUGUGGGUCGUUGUACGUU